UUGAAAAGUCCUCCACGAAGGCCCCUGAUCCGCUGGGCCAGUCAAGUAAAAAAUGAAGCUUCCCUCCUCAGCAGCGCCUGUUUUUAUAAGAUUCUAUGGAGAUGAGCUGCGUCUGG